AUGGGGAUAGACCAUUGCAAUUAUUGGUCUUCAACGAGGAAUUCCUAGUAAGCACGUGUCAUCAGCUCGUGUUGACUACGUCCCUGCCCUUUGUACACACCGCCCGUCCUUCCUACCGAUUGAAUGAUCCGGUGAAGUGUUCGGAUCGCGUCAACGAGGGUGGUUCGCCACCGACGAUGUCGUGAGAAGUUCACUGAACCUUAUCAUUUAGAGGAAGGAGAAUUCGUAACAAGGUUAUCGUAUGUGAACCUGCGGUAGGAUCAUUG
rnacentral:ncRNA from 1 species